rnacentral:rRNA from 1 species
AAUGGGGGCAACCCUGAUGCAGCAAUGCCGCGUGUGUGAAGAAGGCCUGCGGGUUGUAAAGCACUUUCAGUAAGGAGGAAAAGUUGUAGGUUAAUACCUUGCAACCUUGACGUUACUUACAGAAGAAGCACCGGCUAACUCCGUGCCAGCAGCCGCGGUAAUACGGAGGGUGCGAGCGUUAAUCGGAAUUACUGGGCGUAAAGCGUGCGUAGGCGGCAUGGUCAGUCGGAUGUGAAAGCCCCGGGCUUAACCUGGGAAUUGCAUUCGAUACUGCCAAGCUAGAGUAUGUUAGAGGAAAGUGGAAUUCCCGGUGUAGCGGUGAAAUGCGUAGAUAUCGGGAGGAACAUCAGUGGCGAAGGCGACUUUCUGGAUCAAUACUGACGCUGAGGUACGAAAGCGUGGGGAGCAAACAGGAUU